GACGAACGCUGGCGGCGUGCUUAACACAUGCAAGUCGAACGGAAAGGCCCUGCUUUUGUGGGGUGCUCGAGUGGCGAACGGUGAGUAACACGUGAGUAACCUGCCCUUGACUUUGGGAUAACUUCAGGAAACUGGGGCUAAUACCGGAUAGGAGCUCCUGCUGCAUGGUGGGGUUGGAAAGUUUCGGCGGUUGGGGAUGGACUCGCGGCUUAUCAGCUUGUUGGUGGGGUAGUGGCUUACCAAGGCUUUGACGGUAGCCGGCCUGAGAGGUGACCGGCCACAUUGGGACUGAGAUACGGCCCAGACUCCUACGGGAGGCAGCAGUGGGGAAGUAUUGUCACAAUAGGG
rnacentral:rRNA from 1 species